rnacentral:rRNA from 1 species
CCUACGGGAGGCAGCAGUGAGGAAUAUUGGUCAAUGGACGAGAGUCUGAACCAGCCAAGUAGCGUGAAGGAUGACUGCCCUAUGGGUUGUAAACUUCUUUUAUAUGGGAAUAAAAUGUUCCACGUGUGGGAUUUUGUAUGUACCAUAUGAAUAAGGAUCGGCUAACUCCGUGCCAGCAGCCGCGGUAAUACGGAGGAGCCGAGCGUUAUCCGGAUUUAUUGGGUGUAAAGGGAGCGUAGGUGGAUUGUUAAGUCAGUUGUGAAAGUUUGCGGUUCAACCGUAAAAUUGCAUUUGAAACUGGCAGUCUAGAGUACAGUAGAGGUGGGCGGAAUUCGUGGUGUAGCGGUGAAAUGCUUAGAUAUCACGAAGAACGCCGAUCGCGAAGGCAGUUCACUGGACUGCAACUGACACUGAGGCUCGGAAGUGUGGGUAUCAAACAGGAUUAGAUACCCCAGUAGUC